AGUUUCGAUCCUGGCGUCAGGACGAACGCUGGCGGCGUGCCUAACACAUGCAAAGUCGAACGGAGCUAUGCGCUGAACGGAGAGCAGCUUGCUGAAGGAAGUUCUUGUAUAGCUUAGUGGCGGACGGGUGAGUAACGCGUGAGCAACCUGCCUUUCAGAGGGGGAUAACGUUUGGAAACGAACGCUAAUACCGCAUAAGACCACACUUCCACAUGGGAGAGGGGUCAAAGGAGCAAUCCGCUGAAAGAUGGGCUCGCGUCCGAUUAGAUAGUUGGGGGGUAACGGCCCACCAAGUCGACGAUCGGUAGCCGGACUGAGAGGUUGAACGGCCACAUUGGGACUGAGACACGGCCCAGACUCCUACGGGAGGCAGCAGUGAGGGAUAUUGGUCAAUGGGGGAAACCCUGAACCAGCAAUGCCGCGUGAGGGAAGACGGUUUUCGGAUUGUAAACCUCUGUCCUCUGUGAAGAUAAUGACGGUAGCAGAGGAGGAAGCUCCGGCUAACUACGUG
rnacentral:rRNA from 1 species